rnacentral:rRNA from 1 species
GACUCUCGGCAACGGAUAUCUUGGCUCUUGCAUCGAUGAAGAACGUAGCGAAAUGCGAUACUUGGCGUGAAUUGCAGAAUCCCGUGAACCAUCGAGUCUUUGAACGCAAGUUGCGCCUGAAGCCAUUAGGCUAAAGGCACGUCUGCUAGGGCGACACA